AAAUCCCUAAAUCCAGCUUUCUUAGCUACAUCCGAAGCCAAUCCGAUCGAUACUUCAUUCAUCACAGCAAUCACAGAAGGAAAUCAAGAAACUGAUCUCUCUAAAAGCGGUCCAAAACCCUCAUUUUCAUCUCCGUCGGAUGCGUUUGACCUCACUGAUGCAUUAGAAUCCUUCCCUACACUGUUGAUUACUGAUGGGAAUCAAGGAUCUGGUGUGUAUCUACACAGACGUCCACCUGAUGCAUGGCCUGGACUUCCACAUUAUGAAGUUGCCAUGCGUGUCCACAUAUAGAGAUGCAUGUGGAAAGGUCUGCAAAGUGGCCCCCAUGGAAAUCCUCUCCCACAUGCACUUUACAAGCAAAAUAUGUGCCAAUAUGGCAUGUGUCCAGGAUAUCUGAUAGGAGCAUAGGAUAGGCUUCACCGUGCAGAUGAUGCUGCCCAGGACCUUGCCAUGCUCAUUAUAGGAAGGAUCUUCCUGGGGUGUGGAGUCGGCUUCGCUAAUCAGGUCUUUUUCUAGUUCCACUUUCGAUUUAUUCUUUAUUUUAUUUCAAUUCAGUUCUGUUUAAUCAACAAAUCUGGCCCACCACCAAUUCCCCAUAUCGAAUUACGGGUGGUGGUGCGAACCGGAACUCACAAUCCAUCUUGGGCCAGCUGGGAUCCCAGCCCUCCUCCUGACCGUUGGCUCUAUUCUGUUGUCGACACUCCUGACAGCCUCAUAGAGCAUGACCACCUCGACAAAGGGAAGGCAGUGCUCAAGAAGAUCCGUGGAACCAACAACGUUGAGCCUGAGUUCCUGGAGCUUGUGGAGGCAAGUCGUGUGGCCAAGGAAGUAAAGCACCCAUUCAGGAACCUCCUCAAGCAACACAGCCGCCCACAACUGAUUAUUGAUGUGGUCAUGCAGGUCAGCCUCCAUGGCUUUAUAAGUAUAAAACACCCACAACAAAUGACAAAAUGGGUCAUUUUCAUAGCUAGACUUGAUUAGUCUGAUUUAGUUAUCUUUAAUUUCAGUGAUCCAUUGCAGUACCAAACACCCACAAUGAUUA